rnacentral:rRNA from 1 species
GAUGAACGCUGGCGGCGUGCCUAAUACAUGCAAGUCGAGCGAACAGACGAGGAGCUUGCUCCUCUGACGUUAGCGGCGGAUGGGUGAGUAACACGUGGAUAACCUACCUAUAAGACUGGGAUAACUUCGGGAAACCGGAGCUAAUACCGGAUAAUAUAUUGAACCGCAUGGUUCAAUAGUGAAAGACGGUUUUGCUGUCACUUAUAGAUGGAUCCUCGCCGCAUUAGCUAGUUGGUAAGGUAACGGCUUACCAAGGCAACGAUGCGUAGCCGACCUGAGAGGGUGAUCGGCCCCACUGGAACUGAGACACGGUCCAGACUCCUACGGGAGGCAGCAGUAGCGAAUCUUCCGCAAUGGGCGGAAGCCUGACGGAGCAACGCCGCGUGAGUGAUGAAGGUCUUCGGAUCGUAAAACUCUGUUAUUAGGGAAGAACAAAUGUGUAAGUAACUAUGCACGUCUUGACGGUACCUAAUCAGAAAGCCACGGCUAACUACGUG